AAUCAACGCUGGCGGCGCGCCUAACACAUGCAAGUCGAGCGAAGCCUUCGGGCUUAGCGGCGGACGGGUGAGUAACGCGUGGGAACGUGCCCUUUGGUACGGAAUAGCCCCGGGAAACUGGGAGUAAUACCGUAUGUGGUCGAGAGACGAAAGAUUUAUCGCCAAAGGAUCGGCCCGCGUUGGAUUAGGUAGUUGGUGGGGUAAUGGCCUACCAAGCCGACGAUCCAUAGCUGGUUUGAGAGGAUGAUCAGCCACACUGGGACUGAGACACGGCCCAGACUCCUACGGGAGGCAGCAGUGGGGAAUCUUAGACAAUGGGGGAAACCCUGAUCUAGCCAUGCCGCGUGAUCGAUGAAGGCCUUAGGGUUGUAAAGAUCUUUCAGUGGGGAAGAUAAUGACUGUACCCACAGAAGAAGCCCCGGCUAACUCCGUGCCAGCCGCCGCAGUAACAC
rnacentral:rRNA from 1 species